GUGCCAGCAGCCGCGGUAAUACGGAGGAGGCAAGCGUUAUCCGGAAUUAUUGGGCGUAAAGCGUCCGUAGGUGGUUUUACAAGUCUGCUUUUAAAGCGCGAGGCUUAACUUCGUAAGGGGAGUGGAAACUGUAAGACUAGAGUGCGGUAGGGGUAGAGGGAAUUCCCAGUGUAGCGGUGAAAUGCGUAGAUAUUGGGAAGAACAUCGGUGGCGAAAGCGCUCUGCUGGGCCUGCACUGACACUGAGGGACGAAAGCUAGGGGAGCGAAAGGGAUUAGAUACCCCUGUAGUCCUAGCUGUAAACGAUGGAGACUAGGCGUUGUCCGUAUCGACCCGGGCAGUGCCGUAGCUAACGCGUUAAGUCUCCCGCCUGGGGAGUACGCUCGCAAGAGUGAAACUCAAAGGAAUUGACGG
rnacentral:rRNA from 1 species